GAGAUACAAAAUUACAAACUCUCUCACAGGUUUACAGACCUAGGUUUACAGACCUGGUUUCAAAACAAAUACAAAUGAUCUACAAUCAUCAAAAAAAAAACAAUGGGAUGAAAACUAAAAAGAAAUACAUCAGCCAAGUAAAUAAAAGAGUGAACGUUGAAGGAAGAUUACGUUGCACAUGAGAGAUAGAGAGUAUCAAGCUUAGCUAUAAGCGUGACAGAAAUAUCAGAGAUAUAGGCAGAAAGGUGAUCUGCUGGCCGCGAGGGGAAGAUAUCUGUUGAUGAUAUCUUCUGAAAACUUCACAGAUGCGAGUGAUCAUUGAAGAAGCCGACCGUGACCGUGAUGGUGAAGUUAAUAUAGAAAAGAUCAUGAAGAUGAUGAAGAGAACAACUUGUUAAAGACACUCUGAUGAGGUCUCUGUUUUAGUUCCUUUUUAACACAAUAUCUUCUAUAAUAUUUUGGUUUUUAAUAUAUGUUUAAUGAGAAGUUUGCUCUUUGUAUGAAA